UACGGAGGGUGAGAGCGUUGUUCGGAAUCACUGGGCGUAAAGCGCGUGUAGGCGGCCUCCUAAGUCUGGUGUGAAAGCCCGGGGCUGACCCCCGGAAGUGCAUUGGAUACUGGGAGGCUGGAGUACCGAAUAGGAGGGUGGAAUUCCUGGUGUAGCGGUGAAAUGCGUAGAUAUCAGGAGGAACACCGGUGGCGAAGGCGGCCCUCUGGUCGGAUACUGACGCUGAGACGCGAAAGCGUGGGGAGCAAACAGG
rnacentral:rRNA from 1 species